UGAGGAAUAUUGGUCAAUGGGCGUAAGCCUGAACCAGCCAAGUAGCGUGAGGGAAGACUGCCCUAUGGGUUGUAAACCUCUUUUGUGCGGGGAUAAAGUGUGGGACGUGUCCCAUAUUGCAGGUACCGCACGAAUAAGGACCGGCUAAUUCCGUGCCAGCAGCCGCGGUAAUACGGAAGGUCCGGGCGUUAUCCGGAUUUAUUGGGUUUAAAGGGAGCGCAGGCCGUCCUUUAAGCGUGCUGUGAAAUGCCGCGGCUCAACCGUGGCACUGCAGCGCGAACUGGAGGACUUGAGUACGCACGAGGUAGGCGGAAUUCGUGGUGUAGCGGUGAAAUGCUUAGAUAUCGCGAAGAACUCCGAUUGCGAAGGCAGCUUACCGGAGCGCAACUGACGCUGAGGCUCGAAAGCGCGGGUAUCGAACAGGAUUAGAUACCCUGGUAGUCCGCGCGGUAAACGAUGGAUGCCCGCCGUUGGGAUUUAGAUUUCAGCGGCCAAGCGAAAGCGUUAAGCAUCCCACCUGGGGAGUACGCCGGCAACGGUGAAACUCAAAGGAAUUGACGGGGGCCCGCACAAGCGGAGGAACAUGUGGUUUAAUUCGAUGAUACGCGAGGAACCUUACCCGGGCUUGAAUUGCAGGAGAACGAUCCAGAGAUGGUGAGGCCCUUCGGGGCUCCUGUGAAGGUGCUGCAUGGUUGUCGUCAGCUCGUGCCGUGAGGUGUCGGCUCAAGUGCCAUAACGAGCGCAACCCCUGUCCAUAGUUGCCAUCAGGUCGUGCUGGGCACUCUGUGGAGACUGCCGCCGUAAGGUGUGAGGAAGGUGGGGAUGACGUCAAAUCAGCACGGCCCUUACGUCCGGGGCUACACACGUGUUACAAUGGGGCAUACAGCGAGUUGGAUGUGCGCAAGUACGUCCGGAUCAAUAAAGUGCCUCUCAGUUCGGACUGGGGUCUGCAACCCGACCCCACGAAGCUGGAUUCGCUAGUAAUCGCGCAUCAGCCAUGGCGCGGUGAAUACGUUCCC
rnacentral:rRNA from 1 species